UACAAAUCGGUUUUUUGCAAUUAUCGUACUACGUUGGGCCAACAUUUGUCCAAUGUAGUUAAGCUAAGAUUUUGCAAUAAAAAUCUGUUCUUACUUUACACCGUAGCCAAUGUAGUUGUGGAUUAGUUUAUAUUUUUAAAUUUGUUGCAAAACAAUUUUAAAAAUGGCAUUGUUUGACAGAAUUAAAAAAGUGCAAUCUGUAUCUCAAACAUUAUGGAGAAUUGUUUUGUGUCAGUGCCAGAAAUUGAAUGCACACCUGAAAAUUUCAUAAUUCAUAAAAAUAUUAUGAAUCCAUUAGCAAUUGUAUCCUUGAAAGAAUGCUGGUAUUAUUAGCACAAUUGGCAAGCAUUGAAGUGCAACUUGGUGAACUACAAAACUCAUCAAAGGCAGUUAUAAAAAUUUGAGUAACGAAGGUAUGCUAAUUAUUGUAUUGCCUGAGUGUCAUUGCCAUUGAAAGCAGUGAAGAAUUCAAGUACUUUGGAAGAAAAAAGACAAGAAAAUACUUAAGUAAAUGUAGCACUGCCUCGUUUUCAUGGAACGUCUUAUGAAAAGCACCGUUAGCUUGGGAUUCGUCUAGCGAAUUGGCUACGGCUGCAAUUUGAGCUUGAUAAUAGAUGGGAUGCGAACGGUACAAUGGUAGCGGACAUUUUCUGAUUGAAAGUAGUCUAUCGGCGUCGUUAUCAAUAACACUUUGAAAAUAUUUUAAAGGAAUAUGGUUAAAAGACAUCAUUUGUUUACAUAAACAGCAUUUAUUAAUCUAUAAUAAAAAGUUAUAAACAUGUUAAUAGCAUUUGAACAUUCACAAACAAUUUUGCAAAGGAAAUCCUAAAACUUUGAUUGUUUUAAAUUCUUGAUUGUUUUUGUUGAAUUUAUUUUUUAAGCAAAAUGACAAUAUUAAGAAUAUUUUUUUUUUAUACCAUUGUUGUUCUUAAUAUAUCAUUGGCUUAGCAUACAUUUUAUGUUUGUAAUUAAGUAGUAUUUUAUUUAUACAAAAGCAAU